CGCUAAGGUCAUUGCACUUUGCAUGUUCCUUGGACAAUACAUUUCUGCCAGCAUUCUUCUUUUUUAGCAAGUCUGGACGCUUUUAAAGGACAUUUGCCUGCCAUAAAGAGGAUACCAUUUUCUGCCUGAAUGAGGUGUACUUGGAGUUUAACAGGGUUGCUGGUAGAAAUCUUAAAGAAGAGUUCUUUGGUGUUCUUGAUGGUUUGUGUCCAAGCUUGAUGGAAAUCUUCAAGAGGAAGACAGGUCGGAUAGGCAAGCAUAGCUGACCUGCUACAACAGACAACGAGCAUCUAAUGGCCAACAGCCAUUAGAUGCCUUGUCCUGAGAGGACUUCCAGUCAUUCUUGGGGAUGAUGCAUCUAUGUUCUUUAAGAGCAGUUUGAAUCUUAAUGAGGGAGCCUCCGUGGACAUUCCUGUGCGAAUCCUCUGCUAUGAGGACACCAGCGCUGCAAGCCCAGCAUUGCCACAACUAAAUCCCUCAAGAGUGGGUAUCAUCCUAGAGGGCAGCCUUGUAAUGGAAGCGCUCACCAACCUACCUCAGGCCAUGUGCCUCUUGUUUGGCUUUACCUACGCACUCCACCUGCAGUACCCGAAGUGCUUAAAAAACACAUUCAGCAGGUAAUGCUAAAUUGAGGUCGAAGUGAGCUACCUCCCAAGGUUCAAAAGCUGAAGAAUGAUCUUGCAGUGUAAGACACAUUUAUGCUCAUGGCACAGUUCUUCAGGUCCGUGUCUGGAUUGUUGCACAAAUACAUUGCACUGACUGGAGCAAAUAUUCUUGCAGUUGCUCAUUUUGUAUGUGGUUCUUCUUGAACUGGAUGUGUCUAGUAUUGCUUGUUUUACUGAAAUGAUUCUACAGAUGACACAUUUUAAAAAGUUGCAUUUUUUUUUUUUUUUACCAACUCUGGUCCUCACUGCAUAGUUAUUCUUAAUGCCUACUUUGCGUGGCACACAAAGCAUAUAGUUUUUCCUUUAGCACUCGCACUAUGCUGCUUCAUGGUCAGUUUUGUUGUUUUUUUCAUACUUGAAAAUUGUUCACAGAACAAAUAAUUAAAAAACUGUGCUGUGGUUGUAUUUGGAAGGAAAUUGUUUCAUAAUUCAAUACACAUGUUCUGUUUGCUGCAUCAUAGAAUGGUACUGUAAGGUAAGAUCUGCAGCAAAAAGUAAGAAUAUAUUGUUGUACGGUAAUUGUUGACAAAGA